rnacentral:rRNA from 1 species
UUAAGAAAAUAAGUGCAAGCGGUGGAUGCCUUGGCAUUCAGAGGCGAUGAAGGACGUGAUAAUCUGCGAUAAGCUUCGGUUAGCUGGUAAAUGAGCUAUGACCCGGAGAUUUCCGAAUGGGGGAACCCACCUGACACAAGUUGGGUACUCACUCGAUAUAGAGUGUAGAGCGAACGAGGGGAACUGAAACAUCUAAGUACCCUUAGGAAGAGAAAUCAAUUGAGAUUCCCGUAGUAGUGGCGAGCGAAGUGGGAAGAGCCUGGUAUGAUUUAGCUGUAAUUAUAGUAGAACAAGUUGGGAAGCUUGACGAUAGAGGGUGAUAGUCCCGUAUACGAAAUAAUCACAGUGGAACUAAGCAUACGAACAAGUAGGACGGGGCACGUGGAACCUUGUCUGAAUAUGGGGGGACCAUCCUCCAAGGCUAAAUACUCCUGAAUGACCGAUA